AGAGCGAACGCUGGCGGCAGGCUUAACACAUGCAAGUCGAGCGGGCGUAGCAAUACGUCAGCGGCAGACGGGUGAGUAACGCGUGGGAACAUACCUUUUGGUUCGGAACAACACAGGGAAACUUGUGCUAAUACCGAAUAAGCCCUUACGGGGAAAGAUUUAUCGCCGAAAGAUUGGCCCGCGUCUGAUUAGCUUGUUGGUGAGGUAACGGCUCACCAAGGCGUACGAUCAGUAGCUGGUCUGAGAGGAUGAUCAGCCACAUUGGGACUGAGACACGGCCCAAACUCCUACGGGAGGCAGCAGUGGGAAUAUGGACAAUGGGCGCAAGCCUGAUCCAGCCAUGCCGCGUGAGUGAUGAAGGCCCUAGGGUUGUAAAGCUCGUUUUGUGCGGGAAGAUAAUGACGGUACCGCAAGAAUAAGCCCCGGCUAACUUCGCGCCAGCAGCCGC
rnacentral:rRNA from 1 species